UCAAAGAGAUACUUACUGAAACAGAAAACAAAUUAUAUUUCUUCAAAUUGUUCUUUGGACCAAUAACAUACUGUGACAAGUCAAGAUUUUCUAACGGGAAGUCCACAGAUGUCUGUAAUUUUUGUUUCCACCUGCCAUCGUAGGAAAAACUGCAGAACAAAACAUUACAAUUACACUGACAGAGGAAGAUACCAGGAUGAAUCCUCAUUCAUUAACAUCUAGAUUUUUAGCCAGGACUGUAAAAUCCAUUUCAAAUACAAAGACUUGGAAUUUUAGUAGUAGAGGAACCUGUUAAAGACAUUUGGCUUCAUUUCCAUUUUACAAACAAGAAAACUGAGGCACAUGGAUAUUUAAUGAUGUGCCUAAGGUCAAACAGCCAGAAUGGUAGAGGUAGGACUAUACUCUGGUCCAGCUACAACUGCUACAUGAGUCUUCUAGGAAGGACUAGACCUUUUCCAUCAAUUGGAAAAAUCUGGAUGAAAUUAUUUCUGCACUUAAUGAUCUACUGUAACCAGAUAAUCGUCCUUUGUUAUGUGCCCAUGGCAGGCAGUACAACAAGUAUAAAUUACACAGAACUUAAAAUUCCCUCAUUUAAUUUCACUGAACAGGAGGACAAACUUUCCCCUUUACCGUUUCAGAUGCACUAAAAGCACAGGUGGUAACUUCC
rnacentral:antisense_RNA from 1 species